rnacentral:rRNA from 1 species
UACGUAGGGUGCGAGCGUUGUCCGGAUUUAUUGGGCGUAAAGAGCUUGUAGGCGGCUCGUCACGUCGGGUGUGAAAACUCGCGGCUCAACCGCGAGCCUGCACCCGAUACGGGCGGGCUAGAGUUCGGCAGGGGAGACUGGAAUUCCUGGUGUAGCGGUGGAAUGCGCAGAUAUCAGGAGGAACACCGGUGGCGAAGGCGGGUCUCUGGGCCGAUACUGACGCUGGAGAAGCGAAAGCGUGGGGAGCGAACAGG